GAAGAGAGAGUUAAAUAGUACGUGAAAUCGGUGAGGUGGAAACGGAUAGAGUUGACGUAUCUGGCAUGCAUUCAGCCGUUGCGUAUAGCUCUCGUAUGGUGUGCCGCGGUUCUCGGAUCGUUGUGCAUGCUGUGCGUGGAGUCGUGCGUAUCGGUGCACUUGCAUGUCGUGUGCGCUGGAGCGCAUGCGUUGGUCGUUCGGCCCAAGGGUAAGAGGAUGCGCGCUUCGGCGUGUAAAACCGGACCCUUGUGUGCCGGGCGGUUCGGCGUAUGCGGUGUGGAUGUGCGGCGCUAACGUUCGCGGCUAUCAUUCGUUUCUGGGGCGCAUGGCGGUCGCUUGCGACACGUGUGCGUCUCGGUUUCGAUGGUUGGCGCGAUCUCGCUCAUGUUCACUCCGGUGUAAAAGUCGAUCAUCUAUCCGACCCGUCUUGAAACACGGACCAAGGAGUUUAACGUAUACGCGAGUCAAUGGGCGUUUAAAACCCAAAGGCGUAAUGAAAGUGAAAGUGCUCUCGAAGUGCUUGAUAUGCGAUCCGCAGCACCACGGUGUUGCCGGCGCAGCAUAGCCCCGUUCCCGUCGCUUGCGAUGGAGCGGAGGAAGAGCGUAUGCGUUGAGACCCGAAAGAUGGUGAACUAUGCCUGAGCAGGACGAAGUCAGAGGAAACUCUGAUGGAAGUCCGAAUCGGUUCUGACGUGCAAAUCGAUCGUCUGACUUGGGUAUA
rnacentral:rRNA from 1 species